AGUGAACGCUGGCGGUAGGCCUAACACAUGCAAGUCGAACGGCAGCACAGUAAGAGCUUGCUCUUACGGGUGGCGAGUGGCGGACGGGUGAGGAAUACAUCGGAAUCUACUUUUUCGUGGGGGAUAACGUAGGGAAACUUACGCUAAUACCGCAUACGACCUACGGGUGAAGGCAGGGGAUCUUCGGACCUUGCGCGAUUGAAUGAGCCGAUGUCGGAUUAGCUAGUUGGCGGGGUAAAGGCCCACCAAGGCGACGAUCCGUAGCUGGUCUGAGAAGAUGAUCAGCCACACUGGAACUGAGACACGGUCCAGACUCCUACGGGAGGCAGCAGUGGGGAAUAUUGGACAAUGGGCGCAAGCCUGAUCCAGCCAUACCGCGUGGGUGAAGAAGGCCUUCGGGUUGUAAAGCCCUUUUGUUGGGAAAGAAAAGCAGCAGGUUAAUACCCCGCUGUUCUGACGGUACCCAAAGAAUAAGCACCGGCUAACUUCGUG
rnacentral:rRNA from 1 species